CCGUCUCUAAUCCGACCCAUUACGAACUUUGUAUUAUAUUCAUACCAUAUAAUAUACUACACAUUAUUAUUAAAAAAAAGUUAUUAAUGAGAGCAACAUAGUUUAAUGUGGUUGCUCCUGAUCCUAGAUUUCUUGCAGUAUAAAAGUCGAAUCAACAAUGGCGUCAAGAGUGGAUCCUCUGCCCCAGGGCUGUAAUGCUUUUGAAGGAAACAACAAUGGCGUCAAGUUGGUGUCUGCGAACACGGCGUUAGGAUUAAGGGCGUUGAGGAAAAAAGCUUGCCUUAAAGCUUCAGGAGCCGCCGGAGGAAGAAAGGCCGCCGGUGAUACAUUACAGGCAUAGGGGUAGGCCUAUUCACUGUAGAAAGGCGUAGGGGGGAUGAUCAAUAAGUGGAAUACGAUUGAGUAUUGUAAAGAGAUAGAUUGAAUCUACAUAUAGUGAGGAGCUAGAUCAAGAAGAGUAAAGUAUUGUUCUCUUCCCCUCAAACUCUUAGCUUUGCUUCCUUGACGGAAUAUUUCGAAUCUGUGUAACGAGAGAAAGCAGGAGCUUUGAUUCCUUCCCAGAUUGCCGAUAAACCCUGCUCUUUCUGCAGACACCAGAAUGCCAAGAAAGAUUUAUAUGUUCCAAACUCCUGGAAUGUGUUUGAUCUGUUAGAUGGCACAUUGGCAAAUGAAACCAGGGACCUGGUGUUUGAUUACCCAGAUGGAUGUCGAAGAUGGUUCCUUUUUCGCGUGUUCGUUUCAGGGGUCGCCUUCCCCUAGUAAUAAAAAACAAACCCAGAUUUCCUGAUUCCAUUAGAAACAAAACCCAAAUGGGAGAAUGGAGGAAAUCUAAGAUCUCGGAUAGAAAAUUGUGGCAAUGGAAAAAGAGGAGCAGAAUAUGGUGGUGCUCAUGAUAGGAAAAAGAGGAGGAGCAGAAUAUGGUGGUGGCGGCGGAGCUUACGAAGAAGAAGAAGGAUGGAGGGGCGAGAGUAAAUUUUUUCCUUUUUAAUUUUUUAUUUUGUUGACUAAUAAUUAGAAUCGAUGAUGAUAUGAGGUGUUUGUAUAGCUGGUCUGCGUGGUCAAGUGGGCGAAAUAGGACGAAAAAUGUCGACGGUGAAAUUAGUUAAUUACGACACAGAUUAUUUUAACGAAA
rnacentral:lncRNA from 1 species